CCUGGCAACAAGACAACGAAAAAAAGGCCACAUUAUGUACCAUCUACACAGUCGAAUUUGAAACGAUUAAACAGCUGAAUGGAAAAAAAUUCAAAUUAGUGUUGAAUAUGUUGAACAGUAUGUUUAUUAUUGUGGCUGUAAUUUACAGUGGUUGUAGGACUACAUUAAACGGACUGUUUCGUUCAGUUUUUGUUAGCAUCUGCUCCAAGGGUGCCUAUAGUUUAAACAUGGGUUUGCUGAUGUAUCAGAGAUUUUGCAAAUCCAACCUGAAGGUGAAAAUAUUAACCAUGGGGCCCCUUGUGUGCUUUUUUUCAGUCUGCUGAUACAUCCCGGAACAGCGCUGACUUCCUCUGGUGUGCUCUUUUCUCGCUCUAUACUACAUGAAUAAACUGCCAGAGAGAGGACUGACCGGCCACUGCGAGUUGCUGCCGUGUCUCGGGCGCUCUUCUAGUCCUGCUCCACUGAGCUCCUCGAAGCUCAGAUUGAGGCUGAAGGUCCCUCCCUCCCGCUGGGCCCCCGACAAGCGCCUGCCGGGCUCUGCGCUGUAGACGCUGUUGCCCUGCUCACUUGGAGCUCGCGACUCCUCCUCGAGCAGAGCCUGGCUUUCGGCAAGCCGUUGUUCCAUCACCUUGGGAAGAAGAGUUUGUUAACUCAACACAGACUCCCAAGUGAGAUCACUGUGACAUACAAACAAACAUGUAACAAGGCAACAGGAAAUAGCAAGACGGGGAACUUUGAGCUGCUCCUUAUGAGGAGCCACUCGCUGUCCACUCAUCCCUGACAAUGACCUCCCUUCAUCCAGAUAUCAGUUGGCCAUCAUCGACCAGAUGGCUGAGCUGGCUGCGUCCUGGCAACGCAACACUGGUUUAGUGCACGAGGCCGUACAGACGCAGCACUUUCCAGCUGCUCUGAUGUGAGCUGAGCAUCAGAUGUUUGCUAAAACCACGACUUAUUAGGAGGCUGCAACACGUGUUAGUAAUUCAAGGCUUCUCGUAAGACUGGUUAUGAAAUCUCAAUUCCAAUAUUUUAUAUUAGCACAGGAUGUGAUAUUACAAAAUGCGUCCAAUCUCUUUUGGGAGGAAAUAUGAGAGGAUACUCUAUCGCUAACUGCGACUGGGUGACAAUCAGUCCGGGUACAUAUUAACUCUUGCCCAAAGGCAGCUGGGAUAGCCACCAGCUCACCCACGACCCUAAUGAGAACAAGCACUAUAGAAAAUUGCUGGAUGGCAAACAUCGGUAAUGGUUUGGUGAAAUGGUUUAGGAAUAGGGCUUGAACCAGUCUGAAAAUAAUCCAAUUGAAAAGUUUUUCCCUCUCAAUAAAGUGAUUGAGGAUGA